rnacentral:rRNA from 1 species
GAUGAACGCUGGCGGCGUGCCUAAUACAUGCAAGUCGAACGAUGAGGAUCUAGCUUGGUAGAUCGCACGAGUGGCGAACGGGUGAGUAAUACAUAAGUAACCUACCCAUGAAGACUGGGAAACUUUCUGGAAAAGGGGCUUAAUACCGGGAAGAUAUUCGGAAGCCAUUUUCUGGUUAUUAAAGGUCGACAACUCUGGUGGAUGGGCUGGUGGCGCAUUCGUUAGUUGGUGUGGUAACGGCCCACCGAGUUGAUGAUGCGUAGGCGGUCUGGGGGGGUGGACCGCCAGAUGGGGACCGGGACACGUCCCACAGUGCUACGGCAGGCAGCAGUAGGGGAUGUACGGGAAGGGAGGCAACCCUGACCGAGCGACGCCGGGUGAGGGAAGGCGGCGUUCGGGAUGCAAAGCUCUGUGGUAAGAGAAGAACUGUAGAUAGAGAAUAUCUAAGUGACGGUACCUGAUCAGAAAGCCACGGCUAACUACGUG